UUGAUCCUGCCGGACCUGACUGCUAUCGGAUUGGUACUAAGCCAUGCGAGUCAUUGUAGCAAUACAAGGCAGACUGCUCAGUAACACGUAGUUAACCUAACCUAUGGACGGGGAUAACCUCGGGAAACUGAGAAUAAUCCCCGAUAGACCACUAUGCCUGGAAUGGUUUGUGGUUGAAAUGAUUUAUCGCCGUAGGAUGGGACUGCGGCCUAUCAGCUAGUUGGUGAGGUAAUGGCCCACCAAGGCUAUAACAGGUACGGGCUCUGAGAGGAGGGGCCCGGAGAUGGGUACUGAGACACGGACCCAGGCCCUAUGGGGCGCAGCAGGCGAGAAACCUUUGCAAUGUGCGAAAGCACGACAAGGUUAAUCCGAGUGUCUUCUGCUAAAGAAGUCUUUUGUUAGUCAUAGAACCACUGAUGAAUAAGGGGUGGGCAAGUUCUGGUGUCAGCCGCCGCGGUAAAACCAGCACCUCGAGUGGUCAGGAGGUUUAUUGGGCCUAAAGCAUCCGUAGCCGGUUGUUUAAGUUUUCGGUUAAAUCCAUGCGCUUAACGUAUGGGCUGCCGAAAAUACUGGACAGCUAGGGAGUGGGAGAGGUACACGGUACUCAAUAGGAAGGGGUAAAAUCCUUUGAUCUGUUGAUGACCACCUGUGGCGAAGGCGGUGUACCAGAACACGUUCGACGGUGAGGGAUGAAAG
rnacentral:rRNA from 1 species